UUGAAGAGAACAAAAUAACUGAAUCGGCUUCGUUUAAAGAGGAAAGCAACAAGGUCGAUGAUCUGAUUGACCCACAAAAGAAAGCUUUGGAUGAAUUCAAAGAAUUGAUUCGGGAAGCCCUUAACAAGCAUGAAUUCACAGCUCCGCCGCCUGCGGCCAAGGAAGAAGAAAAGAAACCUGAAGAGAAGAAGGAAGAAGAACCAAAACCUGAAGAGAAAAAGGAAGAAGAAGAAUCUAAACCUGAGGAGAAAAAAGAAUCAUGUGAGGCUCCUUCUGGAGUUCCACUGCCGCCUGAACCAGAGGCCCCGGUGGAGAAAAAAGAGGAAGAGAAACCUACUCCAUUGGCGGCGGCGGAGCCAUCAGAAUCAGUCGUUGAAAAAAUUGAAGCCACUGUUGAAGAAAUCAAAGAAACGAUAGUUCAUGAAGUUCCACCGCCACCAGCGGAAGAGUGUCCCCCUGCCCCGGCGAAGGAGGAAGCAGCCCAGGAA
rnacentral:lncRNA from 1 species